UACGGAGGAUCCGAGCGUUGUCCGGAUUUAUUGGGCGUAAAGCGAGCGCAGGUGGUUUAUUAAGUCUGGUGUAAAAGGCAGUGGCUCAACCAUUGUAUGCAUUGGAAACUGGUAGACUUGAGUGCAGGAGAGGAGAGUGGAAUUCCAUGUGUAGCGGUGAAAUGCGUAGAUAUAUGGAGGAACACCGGUGGCGAAAGCGGCUCUCUGGCCUGUAACUGACACUGAGGCUCGAAAGCGUGGGGAGCAAACAGG
rnacentral:rRNA from 1 species